rnacentral:rRNA from 1 species
GAUGAACGCUGGCGGCGUGCCUAAUACAUGCAAGUCGAGCGAACGGACGAGAAGCUUGCUUCUCUGAUGUUAGCGGCGGACGGGUGAGUAACACGUGGAUAACCUACCUAUAAGACUGGGAUAACUUCGGGAAACCGGAGCUAAUACCGGAUAAUAUUUUGAACCGCAUGGUUCAAAAGUGAAAGACGGUCUUGCUGUCACUUAUAGAUGGAUCCGCGCUGCAUUAGCUAGUUGGUAAGGUAACGGCUUACCAAGGCAACGAUGCAUAGCCGACCUGAGAGGGUGAUCGGCCACACGGGAACGGAGACACGGUCCAGACUCCUACGGGAGGCAGCAGAAGGGAAUCUUCCGCAAUGGGCGAAAGCCUGACGGAGCAACGCCGCGUGAGUGAUAAAGGUCUUCGGAUCGUAAAACUCUGUUAUUAGGGAAGAACAUAUGUGUAAGUAACUGUGCACAUCUUGACGGUACCUAAUCAGAAAGCCACGGCUAACUACGUG